CAUGGACAUUCCCCACGCACUGUUCGAGGAGAAGCUUGAAGCCAUGAAGGAAGCCAAGGGGGUGAAGAACGACAAUGACCUGACUGCCUCUGACCUCAAAGAGCUGGUGGCUCAGUACAAGGAGGUCUACGUCGAAGCCAAGGGGGAGCCAUUUCCCUCAGGUAUGCCCACCGCAGCCUCACCCUCAGUUGAUAAUAUCUGUAUGAAAAAAAAAAUUCUCUUGAAACUAAAGCUGUUUCUUUGCAUCAAACUUAUGCAUGCCUUUACCUUGUUUUGUCUUGCAGAUCCCAAGAAGCAGCUUGAGCUAGCAGUGUUGGCUGUGUUCAACUCGUGGGACAGCCCCAGGGCCAACAAGUACAGGAGCAUUAACCAGAUCACUGGUCUGAAAGGCACUGCUGUGAACGUGCAGUCCAUGGUGUUUGGCAACAUGGGGGACACUUCUGGCACUGGCGUGCUCUUCACUAGGAAUCCUAGCACUGGAGAGAAGAAGCUGUAUGGCGAGUUCCUGGUGAAUGCUCAGGUAUGGACCAGUUUCUGUUGUGCCUAUUUGAUUCACAAUCUUAGCUGCCCUGUUUGAUCAAGUUAUUUUACACAAGUUAUAUUAAACAUGCAGUAGUAUCAACGAAUCUGUAUAAUGUAUGUGUGUUUCUGGUUCAGGGUGAGGAUGUGGUUGCUGGAAUCAGAACCCCGGAGGAUCUUGAUGCCAUGAAGGCACAGAUGCCGGAUGCUUAUGUAGAGCUCGUUGAGAACUGCAAGAUACUGGAGAGCCACUACAAAGAAAUGAUGGUACCUUAUUAUUGCAUUUUCAACCUUUACUGCACCAUUUAUUUUUGAGCUAUAUUUAAACAUGAUCUCUUUAAUAAUUUGCAACAUAAGCGCACUUGAAUACUGGUGUUGCUUCAAUGUGUUCUGUAGAUUGGCAUUGUGUCUCUGUUACUGCCAUUGGCCAUGAUCUCAGACUUGCUUGCUUUUUAUGCAUGAUGCAGGACAUUGAAUUUACCGUUCAGGAAAAUAGGCUCUGGAUGUUACAGUGCAGAUCAGGAAAACGUACAGGCCAAGGGGCGGUAAAGAUUGCUGUGGACAUGGUUAAUGAGGGUCUUGUUGAGCGCCGUCAAGCGAUUAAGAUGGUAGAGCCAGGCCACCUGGACCAGCUUCUCCAUCCUCAGGUAAUGGAUAACCAUGAGGCCCGUAAACUGAUUGUGCCUUACUUGAAAUUCAGUACUCUUAUAAGUUUGGCCUUACUUGGAAUUCACUUUAUAAGUUAAGUACUGGAUAUGUAUUAACAUCACUGUUUUAAUCUUGUCCAAUGAAAACCAGUUUGAGAACCCAUCAGCAUACAAGGAUCAAGUAAUCGCUACAGGCUUACCAGCUUCACCUGGGGCUGCUGUGGGCCAAAUUGUAUUUACUGCAGAGGACGCUGAAGCAUGGCAUGCCCAAGGGAAAGCUGCUAUCCUGGUAAACACCAUUUUAUCCUCAUUUUUAAGAAAAAAAGGUCUUCUGCAGUUUUUGUGUCAUUUUGAUCUGGACUUUGUGCUUCGAUGAAAAGAUCUGUUAAUUGAGCAAAACUGGUCUAUUUACUGGACCUGUUAGAAUAGUUGCUUGCAGAGUUACAGUCACAAAAAUCCCACUUAUCACAGACAGCCAUUUUUGAAAUGCAUAUGGAAGCUCCAAGUCGUAUCGCUUCAUCUUUUGCAUUCUGAGAAUUUUUUCUUUGCAAAUAUAUAGGUGAGGACAGAGACCAGCCCAGAGGAUGUUGGUGGCAUGCACGCAGCUGUUGGAAUUCUUACAGCAAGAGGUGGGAUGACCUCUCAUGCUGCUGUGGUAGCACGUGGUUGGGGAAAAUGUUGUGUCUCAGGAUGCUCAAGCGUUCUCGUAAAUGAUGCUGAGAAGGUGAAUAGAAUUCUUGUUUGCACAUCUUCUUCUUUGUAGAAGGUGACAUGCCAUGUUAAAGUUUGUAACAGGAUUAUGACAUUCUUUGUAGAUGUGCUCCGUCCGCCAUUUUUAAGUUCUUAUUAACGAGAUUUUGAGGAUGUAGAUGUUUCCUUACUUUGCUAUGUCUACAUUUACAGUCUGUAGUGAUUGGAGACAAGGUGAUGCAUGAAGGUGAGUGGCUAUCACUGAAUGGAUCUACUGGUGAAGUCAUCGUGGGGAAGCAGCCACUUUCCCCACCAGUCCUCAGUGGUGAUCUGGGAACCUUCAUGUCCUGGGUAGAUGAAGUUAGGCAACUGAAGGUAAAUUCCUAGAAAUAACAAAUAUGUAAUAUUAGUUAAAACAUGGAUACAAACUGUUGGAAGUAGAAACCAACAAAAAGGGCAUCAGAUUAUUUAUUCAGACAGGCCAAAGCUAGUCAACCCCACUACACAUUUUUCAACAGAAAUGCUUAUUCGUACAUAUGAUCCACCUUCCAGGUUUUGGCUAAUGCGGAUACCCCUGAGGAUGCACUGACAGCAAGAAACAAUGGGGCAGAAGGAAUUGGACUAUGCCGGACGGAGCACAUGGUAUGUAUUUUAGUUACUGUCCAAUAUCUUUUGGGUGGGAUCUUGGAAAACUUACUCUUUCUUGAAUUCCUUCGUCGAACAGUUGGGUAAACUUUAAGGACCUCCCGUUCUAGUCUCAUGUUCUCCUUUUCUGCACUUUGGCAGUUCUUUGCUUCGGAUGAGAGGAUUAAGGCUGUGAGGCAGAUGAUUAUGGCUCCCACACUUGAACUGAGGCAGAAGGCACUAGAUCGUCUUUUGCCUUAUCAGAGGUCUGACUUUGAAGGCAUUUUCCGUGCUAUGGAUGGUAUGUGAAAAUCACGAUGCAUUCAUUUACAUGCUCUCCAAUUGAACUGGAUGCACUAGUGUUACUGAACAUAACAAGAGUAAGCAACCUUCUUAAAUAGACAACAUUGACUACUAAUGUAAAGUGAAAAGGUAGACAAGUUUUAAACCUUAGGAUGCAAAAUACUUCAAAAAUAAGAACGAAAUUGGGCCAGUAACAUAUUGCAUCAAUUAUUUAACUUGGUAACAUAAAGUUCUGCUAUGAUUUAUCCAUUAGUUUUUUUUAAUCUUUUAUAGCGAGUGGUAUAUGUACAUGUUUCAUGGAAACAGAUAUAGAAUUAAACUACUAGAAUAAAUUUUAACAUGUAUUGUAGUUAGUUCCACAGUAUGUAUUUUAAAGUGCGGAAUGGAUUUGAACAUUAUUUUUUUUGCAUUUCAGGGCUUUCAGUGACUAUUCGGCUUCUGGACCCCCCACUUCAUGAGUUUCUUCCUGACGGGAAUGUUGAAGACAUUGUGCGUGAAUUAUGUUCUGAAACUGGAGCCAAUCAGGAGGAAGCCCUUGCAAGAAUUGAAAGUCUUUCAGAAGUAAAUCCAAUGCUUGGUUUCCGUGGGUGCAGGUUGGUUUUUGUGCUCCGUUUAAAUCAGUCACCCCCCCUCCUUGAUCCAUUUGGUUCCCUUGUUAGUGAAAUAUUAAAAAGAAUAAACUCUGUAUAUUUACCUCGACUAAUAUUGGAACUGCUAAAAUUCCAGGCUCGGUAUAUCAUAUCCUGAGCUAACAGAAAUGCAAGCCCGUGCCAUCUUUGAAGCUGCUAUAGCGAUGACCAACCAGGGUGUUCAAGUUUUCCCAGAGAUAAUGGUUCCUCUUGUUGGGACACCUCAGGCAUGCAUCUUUAUUUCCUUAUUUGUGCAUAUGGUAUCUCUGCAGUUCAUGGUGUUCAAAAUGACAAAAUCAAAAUUGAAUAAACAACCAAGUUCUGUACACAUGUAAUUUACGAUUUUAUGCAAACAUCAAGUUGACCUACACCCAAUUUCCCACCAAAUUCAUUUCUUGAAAUUUUCUCUCUCGAAUUCUAAGUUUAUUGCUUUCACUUGAUUUUUCCUUCAGACAUCUGACAUUUGACUUUUGCAGGAACUGGGGAAUCAAGUGGCCCUUAUCCGUGAAACUGCUAACAAAGUUUUCGCUGCUCUGGGUAAAACCAUUGACUACAAAAUUGGAACUAUGAUUGAAAUUCCGAGGGCAGCUCUAGUAGCUGAUGAGGUAGGAAGCAUCUAACUCCCUUCAGAAUAAUCUUAAAUAUUGCUGUUUAGGUUUAGCUUUUAGAUCAUAUUUUUCAUGAAUGGUUUAGUAAUAGAACCCCGGAUUUUUACUCUAAAACAUGUGAAUAGUAACUGAUGGUAUGAAUUUAUUAAGUGCAAAUAAUAAGUUUAUCCUCUAAUUUAAAAAAAAAACUGACAUUCUUGUUUUGGUUUCACAACCUGACAGAUAGCAGAGCAGGCUGAAUUCUUCUCUUUUGGAACGAACGACCUCACACAGAUGACAUUUGGCUACAGCAGGGAUGAUGUGGGGAAGUUUCUUCCCAUUUAUCUGUCUCAGGGUAUCCUCCAACAUGAUCCCUUUGAGGUAAAAUUUUAGCAGCUCUCACCCUUCAGUUUUAGAUGAUAUACCUGCAUUUUCAUCAUCCACUCUUGUUUUUCAAGGAAUAUUUCCAUCAUCCACAGAUGCGAGCAUCUCAUGUCCUCUAGGCAUUUUUCAUGUCCUUGACUUUUGGUUACGUGCAUGCUCUGGUAAAAUUCAACCUAGUAACUUGCCCAUUGAAUGUUGAUAAACAUAUCAGGUGCUGGAUCAGAGGGGAGUGGGCGAGCUGGUUAAGUUUGCUACAGAGAGGGGUCGCAAAGCUAGGCCUAACUUGAAGGUUAGUUUUUGGGACUUGUGGACAUUGGCUCUUUUCCUUAGAAAUCAUGGUUUCAUUGUUUGGUGCUGUCUGCAAACAGGUGGGCAUCUGUGGAGAACACGGUGGGGAGCCUUCGUCAGUUGCAUUCUUUGCAAAGUCGGGGCUGGAUUAUGUUUCUUGCUCGCCUUUCAGGUUGGUCAAGUGAUAAACUCAAGAUACAACUCCCAGAUUCAUAACUGUAGCAAAACCUUAACUACUUUUUAUGAAAUAUCUUGUGCAGGGUUCCCAUCGCCAGGCUAGCUGCAGCUCAGGUGCUCGUCUGAGGGCACCGCCUCAUCGGCAACCGGAUCACCUGCUGUUGGUGCGUCUGGUGAAGAAUACUAAUACAAAGCCAUGGAACGGUGGAACUCUGCUGCCUGGCAAAGGCCGUUGUAUCUUGUAUGAAGUCUCCGUGCGCGUGCGCAUGUAAGACUUAAUGUGUGGUUUUCUGCAUUUUCCCUUGAACUACCAUGGUAAUGUAGUACCAAACAGAGAUGAUGACGAAGAACAAUCGAAUAAAUUAAUUGGCGAUUAC
rnacentral:lncRNA from 1 species